ensembl:rRNA 5S_rRNA 5S ribosomal RNA
GCUUACAGCCAUACCACCCAGAGCAAGCCCGACCUCGUCUGAUCUCGGAAGCUCAGCAGGGUCGGGCCUGGUUAGUACUUGGAUGGGAGACCGCCUGGGAAUACCAGGUGCUGUAAGCG